ensembl:lncRNA
UACAUAUUCUUUCAGUGCAGGCAAAUCUCUAAUGAAAAAUACCACCAUCCCAAAGACCUGAACCUGCAGGUUCUGAAAUACCUUCUGAAGAGACUUCUGCUCAGUAAAGAUCAAGUCACAUUUUCAAUGGAUCAGUCCAGAUAAGCUUUCAAAAUGCUUAUCAGAGUUCCUUUAUUCAGGAAAUCAAGUUAAGACACAGGUUUCCUUGUAAAGUCAGUGUUGUUCCUGGUUUCUGUUACAUCAGCCCAUGCUAAACAAGACAUCCUGCUCUAUUUAUGCUUCUCUCUCUGAAAACAACUGAAAAUACAGUAUCUAUGAUUAGUGAAGAACAAAACACCUACUGUUAAACCUCUUAUGAAUCAGUUGAAUCUUUUCAUAUCUAUUUGGGGUUACUCAUUUUGCAUUGUUGUCAAUGGUGUGCAAAAAAACGCAUGGGAAAUACAGGUAGGAGGAUCAGAGUUUCUGUCUCCCAGGUGGAGUUGUUUGCUUCCAAACCCUGCCAUGGGUGGGUGGUUUGGUGCUGUAGGAGACAGGAGAUCCCAACAGCAGCUGGUGGUGCCCACCUGUGGGGCAGGAGGAACGAGCAGGAACUGAUGCCCAGAAGUUCCAUCUGAACAUGAGGAAGAAUUUUUUUCCUGUACAGUGACUGAGCACUGAACAGAUUGUCCAGAGAGGGUGUGGAGCUUUCCUGACUGGAGAUACUCCAGAACCCUCUGGACACAAUCCUGUGCUGUGUCCUGCUGGAGCAGGGAGGUGGGACCAGGUGACCCACGGUGGUUCCCUCCAGCCUGACCCAUCCUGUGAGUCUGUGAACAAAGAGGAGAGGAAAGAGCCACGUGUGUGAGGUGGGUUUGAGCAGUGGUUGGACAGAGGCCUUUUCUGAACAGUCUCUCCAGCUCUUCUUUCUGUCCCUAUCGUGUUUUCCACUAAAUGUAUAGAACAUAAAUGUUGUGUUAAAAUGACAAAAUGUCUGACAAAAAGCAGAAAUGAUAAUGUGGUUUGGGGUUGGUUUGGUUUUUCUCCCCAGUCUUAGCCAAACAAAUGAUUGUAUCAGCACUUUGUCAAAAAUGACGCAGCUGGAUCACCAAAAUGAUGGUGCCUCAGGAGGGGUCCCAUGACAUUUAUUUGGGAAAAGCACCCCUGCUUCUGACAGUCAUCUCCCUGCCGCUGUUAUUAACCCUGUGCCAUCCUUCAGCAAUACUGAUUUAACUGUUUGCAAAGCUAUAUUGGAAACUGAGGCAAAGUCACUGAAAUAGCCUUGAUUAAAAAAAAAAAAAAAAAAAAAAAAUCCAGACCCCUUCCCCCAAAGAAAAAAAAAAAAAAAAAAAGAAAAAAGCCCCCAAAUCAACCAACCAAAAAUCCUCAAAACAAACAAAAUCCCAGAAACGUCUAGAGGGGAGGUGAAAGCCACAUCCAGACAACUUUUAUGGUCAUUAUUCCCAUGCAAUAUUGUAUGGCACACUGAAAAAUAUUUAAGAAUAACAUCAAUUUAAUGUGAAAUCAAAUGCCAGAAUGGAUGAUACAGUGGUUGCAUUAUUGAGUAGCAUACUGAAUUCAAUUAAAUUUUGUCUUGUUAAUAAAUCUUGCAUCACUGCUGACAGCUGCUGUGAAGAAUCCUGAGAUGGUUUUGUAAGGACGUUCAGCCUGUUCCUAGCGGUGCCUGAGGAGCUGGUGGAUGGCUGCCCAGCACAGUAAAAUGAUUGCAUCUUGUGAGGUUGACUGCAGAUUGCUAUCACAGUAAUAAAAACCAAGUUAAAAAUUACAAAAACCUGGUACCUCUAAAAGCUUAUGAGCCAUAGAAAUUGCCUACUACUAACUCCUUACUACUUCUGAGUAAUUGUUUAUUAGGUUGCUGGCUAGAUUUUAAGUUGGAAGAAUUGGACAAAUUGCUGUUGGUCUUUAUCACAAUCUCUUUUUCUGCUGUUCUGAUGCAGCAGCUGUUGCUGGGAAUCAAACCCCUGAUCCACAGAGAAGGAGGAAUAAUUCAUUUUUCCAGAUAACACUUGCUGCAUUACCUGUGUACGUAUUUCUUUCCCAAUGGAGCAUGGGCAAAAAGGAGCAAGUUCUACACAGGCAGCAAGGCUAAAAAAGGAACAUAAUCUACAACUGAUGAAACUGGUAGAUUAUAUAGAAAAAUAGUUCACACCCUUCUUUCAUUCUAAAGAAAACUCUUACCAAUCUUUUUUUUAUCUGAUUACUGUUCUUACCCUUUUUUUUUUUUUUUCAUGUCACUAUUAACAGAAACUUUUAGGAAAGAAUUUGUGUCUUUUAUAUUAAUUCUUAGGUUUAGAACUAUAAAGACUAUCUUCCUGAACUAACCACUCCCUCUUAAGCCCAGCUUUGAAAUGUUUCCAUUAUGCUUAUUGAGAAGUUUAGAAAUGAGAGAUGACCAUUCAGAAAAGUGUUUAAAGUAAUGAGAAAUAAACAAUAAAGACCAUGAGGGUUAAAGAUGAAAAAUUACACUUUUAACUACUAUCUCCUUGCUUUGCAGCCCUAAUACGUGCACUGUGAUUCCUCCUCUACAUUAACAUUCAGAAAGUUUUUCCCCAUGAACAUGUAAUUGUUUGUAUUAGAAGCUUAAAUGUUGUACUCAAAAUUAGAAUCAUGCCUGUGGGUAUUUAAAAUGGAAGAAUAAUACCAGCUAACGACUUCAGAAUAACUAGUAAAAUUACAUCAGGGAGAGUACUUCAGAUUUUGCAGAUUGGCCAAAUUUAUAUUGAUGAGAAAUACAUAAGAUUUAGCUCAGUAAAAUUUAAUGAAACCAAGCAUAUAUUGAGGAAAGGGAAGCAUGCAGGCUUAUUUGUUGUAACAGAAAUUUGUUAACUUUUUAUUUUAGAGAUAAAUGAAGUUCUGCUUUAUGGAAAUUUCUCGUUAUUUUUCUAAAACGUUAUACAUUUAGAUGUAAACAGUUAUAUGGUCUUUCAGAUAGGUUUCUUUAGUAAAUUGAAUUUAUUGGAAGUUGUUUCUUCACAACAAUAAACAUAUAUCUUCACCGAGAGUCCACAUAUUCCUGUGCAGAAAGAAUUCAGUUUGAAAUACAAAGGAAACCAGAAGAGUUGCAUUUCAGAGUUCCGGGUGUUUUCUAGAAAAUUACUCCACCGCUUUUCUGGCUGUUUUCACCUUUGUAACAUCUUGUGUUCAAAGAUAACUCACAGCUCCUCUGAAGAGCGCACAGCUCUUACCUUGGGCUCAGGUCACUUACAGCCAUCAUCUGCCUUGCCAUGUGAGCCAUCAUUCCUGGCACAGGUUCUGCUUCCUCCAAGAAGCUUCUCACUUCUCUCCUCAGAAUUUGGUGUAACUCCAUCCUCCAGUUUCAGCAGUUUUGCUUUAUCUAAUAGGGUGGGUGCUAUAAAUAACUUUUUGCUGUAGAAGGUACAAGAGACAGCAGUUUGGAUCUUGCUAUUAAUUGCAAUGAGCCAAGAGGUUCAAGAUGAAAGUAGGAUCCGUAUUGUGUGAAGAUACAGAAUUUGGAAAUACUAGAAUGUAAUUAGUUAAAUAACUUAUUUAUUUAUUUAUAAAAUACUUGGAGAACUUCUGGUAAAAUACUGGACACUUCAAUAAAAGCGUUACCCAAAAAAAGGGAAAUACAAAUUCAAAUACACCCAUGCUUUAAUGAACCAGAUAAAUCUUUCAGGCAAUCAGUGGAUGCAUAAGCACUAAAGUAGAACAGUAUAAAUCUCAUGUUUAAAGUCGGGCCGUUUAUGCAGUGAUUGAAUCAAAUUAAGAGCAUGUGUGUGAUGUUCUGCUAGCAUAGAAAUGCUAUAGGGAAUGAACAAAAAGGUAAGCCUAGUAAUGUAUCUGUAGAACAUCUGAAAGGAAGCAGAACAGAACAACAUGUUUUAACCAAACAGCUCACAAAGCAGGCCUCUUAUGUAUCAAAGCCAAUUAGGAUAGAAUCCAACAAUUACAAAAGAUAUUUAGUCACAAAGAGAUACCCAGCAAUGUUUUGUCUUAUCUCUGAAGCAGAUCAUUAAAGGCUUCCUGUCAUAUUUCUUCACUACUUCUUUUCAGGAAAAUCUAUUUCCCUCUCCUCAGGAGGAGAAUGGGACUCACCAGAGCACCUCACUUGGCCCCCUCCCAGGCACCCCGUGGGCAGGAGCAACAAUCAACUGCACCAGCAGAGCUCCAAUUCUGCCUUUCCUCAUUGUCCUCCUCACGUGCACAAUGUGGGCUCUGAAUUCUGACCCCAUCCAAGCUGUGGCACACGUGCACAGAAGCUUCUGGAUGUACCAGGGAGUCACUGCAGCACGAAGCUGAACCAGGAGUUUUGCCACAGCAGCAGUUUUGGCGCUGCUGGCCUGGCACAGUCUCAAAUUCCCAGGGAAAAGAUAGGAAUUAUGUGUAACAGUUAAUGAAGGGAGAAGUAGGGUGGGCACCAGAUGAGGAGUUUCUCGCCCUGUCAACAUCAGCUUUUGUUGUCAUAUGAUUUUCUAUGUCUGGAGCACAGUCCUUGAACAAAGCAACAGCAACUCUUUUUACAUUUGAAGAAAAUCUGGGUGGAAUAGGCCUCCAGCAGGUUAUUGGGGAGACUUUCAUUCCUGCCUAUAUGAGAAAUGGGGGGAAUAGAGGUAAUUAGCCAGCCUGUAUCCCAGACUGAUGCCUAAAGGUCCCAUUGUUCAUUUAUACAUAGCAAUAUUUUAAAAACUUUUCAGAUUAAUGGAUUUACAUGCUCUCAGUUGGCUCUUGUUCUUCUUCUCUUUUCUUGGCCAUCCUCCACAGACUUGUAAUGGAAAUCACUGCACAGUUCUCCCUCUCAACUCAGCCUUUGGGUUUCUACCUCAAAUGUAUCGCUCUUUCAGGGGGAAAUGUGUGUGCCUCACAAGUAUGUUUUUCCAGGCUUCCUCCUUGUCACUGUAAAAUCAAUGUAAAGCAUGUCCUGCUGGUUGUCUAAGCAGGCAGAGAAAUUGUGUCAUCCUCCACCAGAGACACUCGAUUGCCACUUGACCUGCCUACAGUCCACUGUUAAGUCCUAUCCAGAGGUAAUCUGACUUUUAAUGGACUGUUUUGGUUUAGAAUAAGGCAGAUAGUGUCAGUGUUUCUCAUGCAGGUUUUUGCCCUCACUUUAUUUCAAUUAAUCCUUCAAUAACAAAAUGAUUGAAUAUAAUAUGGAAAAAUCAGUUUAUUUUCUGAAAUUAAGUUAACUUCAUCCACGCUCAAAAUCCUACAGUCACUUCUAGCAUUUGCAAGUACACGCUCAAUAAAAAUAUUUUGACAUCUAGACUGUCAGAUAAUCUGUGAGUAACAGUUACAUCAUUCAAUGAGAGAACUGCUAAUUUCCAGAGUAAUUUAUUGGGAAAACAAAACAUUUACUGCAGUGAAAUACACUACUGGAUGCUAGAAAAGCUAUAGAACAUUUGCAAGUGAAGUAGUUGGCUUCAGGAUAUGGAAUAUUCUCUUGUGACAAAAACACAGACAAAUAAGAGAUCCUUGCCAGCAAACAUCACUGAAGAGAAUGUACCUGCAGAGAGCAGUGGUCACAGAGCUCCAGGAAGCUUUAGGAUCCUCAUGCAGAAGGAUUUAAUGUAUGGGACAGAGCAGGAGUGCUCAGGAUCAUACCCCUUACAGGACAGGCUGGUGGGGCACAAAGGUUCAUACACCAAAUGCUUUACUUGGAGUGAUUUUUAAAAGCCAGAGAAGUUCUCAGAUUUUUGGGUCGUGCCCAGAACAAGGCGCUCUCUCUGGGCAGAGGUGUCAGCUGGCACAACACAAUCAUGGCUCUGGAGAGUUCCACAGUGGUUGGUUUUACAUCCUCCAGUUCCGCUUCACUGGCAUUUCUCGGUUGCCUUGCUCUCUUCAAAAGUUGUCUUGUUUCUGUAGGGAAAUGCCAGAGCAUUAUGUGUAAUGAUGGUGGUGAUCAUUCCCAGAGCACCCAGAGGACCGAAUUCCAGGUUUUGUGUGAUGCUGUUGGAUGUGUCAGUCUGAGGGUACAGAGUGUGUGUGCCUUUCAUCUGGCUUAAUUUGUGUCUCAUGUUGACUUACGCAUAAAAUUUAAGUUAGGAUUGUGGCUUCUUAGAAAGAAAACAAGGGAUUUUUCAUUCAUUUUAUUGUGUAAUUAACAAAUAGUAAAUUGUUACCCUGCUUGCUGCUGUUUGUAGCAAUGACAAUAAAAGUCAGGAUUUUUGAGAAAUACGCAAGACCACAUCACAGAGGAAAAUCAGCAACUUUAUUCAGCUUAUUCAAUCCUUAAAGAAAGGUGUUUUCAGCAUGGGCAAUCUCAGCUUCCUUAACUCUGCCCUGUCCAAUCAGCCCACCAAGGCUCGCUGGAACCUCCCCUUGGUGGUUGAUGCCUCUCAUGGUGCUCUGAGAGUUGCUUCUUCCAGAGGCUUUUUUCCUCUGCUUUCCCUGAUGCAGGAGAUGCUCUCCCUUUUCAGACAGACUAAGCCAUGAGAUCCAGGGAAUGAAAUAAUUUUCUGAGCUUCAUGUGUUCUGAGCCACUUUUAGAAAUUACAAAAUAAAAUGUCUAAGACACCAUCAUAGAUUUUUACACCUUACCUGAUCUAUAUCAACCUUUAAUUUCAUUGUCAUUUUUUAGUCGAAAGACAACGUAUUGUUGUGGAAAUUCAUUCUUUUAUAAUUUUCAUUUGUAUUCAGAGACUAAAAAAUUACUUGCCAUAUUCAUCUUUAUUUGUUACCUUUCUUAUAUGUUUUUCUGCAUUCUUUUUUUCUGAAGCAAAACUGAAGAGAUGGCUAGUAAAAGGAGGAAAGGAAAGAAAACCAAAACCAAGGAGGAAGAAAAAUGUUUUGAUCCUUUUUUAUCAAAACUUUUCACUUGAGAAAAUACCCUGUUUAAUUUACAGUUAUCCCAUACAGAAUAACAUAGUUUUGUCUUUUUAAAAAAAAAAAUUCUACCAUUUCUAAGUAAAUUAGCACAGCUCCACCCAGGUCAGGCAAGGACAAGCUACACAAACUUCAGCCAUUGUAUUGGCCCAUAUUUAAUAUGUUUUAAAAUAUGUCAUACAAGAUAUGGUGUCUGUUAGGGGUUGAAGGGCUGUAGCCUUCAGCCUUCCCUUCUGUCUCCUCACUCUCAUAUUUUGCUCACAGUCUUACUGCCUCAGACUUGGAUUAUCAGCCCUUUUUUGUCAAUAAAGCAUCCAGCCUAUUAGAACCUUUUGUAUAAAUUAUAAUCAUAAGAAAUUUGACCCCAAUUCAGCUAAAAAAUUACAAUAUUUUUGCAAAAUCAUAGACAAAUUUAAAAAGAAGCUGUUUAAGCUUUUAGAAGUGCAUUCUGGGUGUUGUUGUGAUUUAUGUGCUGUCAAUUAUUUAUUGUACGUAUUGAAAAAACCUGUCAAGUUUCCAUCUCACAUUUCAUAAAUCAGGUUUUUCUGUAUACAAAGCACGUGUCAGAAAUCAGUAUCCAAACAAGAUGCCAGUUGGCUUCUCCAUGUGGCAGCUUGUAAACAGAAAUAUUUGGGGACUGCGCAUUUAUGACAUGCCAUGUAAUGUCAUAUAUAAACAGCAGUUACUGGAAAAUACUCUGCUCCUCUACAUUGCUA